CCGCCUGCCAAGGGGUGAGACUGUUAUUUUAAUAUACCAGUUUCUGAGAUGUCAGAUGACAAACCCUUUGAACCUGAUCCGGCUAAUACCGGCGUAGGAAUGGGCCAAUAGGUUUGA
rfam:Shewanella benthica KT99 1099576005642, whole genome shotgun sequence.